GAUGAAGAACGUAGCGAAAUGCGAUACGUAGUGUGAAUUGCAGGUUUACGUGAAUCAUCGAAUCUUUGAACGCAAAUUGCACUUUCCAGUAUUCUGGGAAGUAUGCCUGGUUGAGGGUCGUUAAAAUAACAAUCGUAAAAUUUUUUUACGGAUUUGGGUAUUCCGGCGUUUUUUAAAUGCUGGUAACUUUAAAAUGAUCUUUUUUGGUUUAAGUUAAAACGUUCUAUAAUUACAUGGUUCGUUGAAAACUUACCUAAUAUAUUAUAUAUUAUGUUUACACUUGUCACUUUAAUCGAUUGUGCAAGCAUAUAUUUUUUUUAUGACCUCAACUCAAGCAAGAUUACCCGCUGAACUUAAGCAUAUCAAUAAGCGGAAGA
rnacentral:misc_RNA from 1 species